GCCGAAAUAGCUCAGUUGGGAGAGGCGUUAAACUGAAGAUCUAAAGGGUCCCUGGUUCGAUCCCGGGUUUCGGCA
rnacentral:tRNA from 1 species